rnacentral:misc_RNA from 1 species
GAUGAAGAACGUAGCAAAAUGCGAUAAGUAAUGUGAAUUGCAGAAUUCAGUGAAUCAUCGAAUCUUUGAACGCACAUUGCGCCCGCCAGUAUUCUGGCGGGCAUGCCUGUUCGAGCGACAUUUCAACCCUCAAGCACAGCUUGGUGUUGGGACUCGCGUUAAUUCGCGUUCCCCAAAUUGAUUGGCGGUCACGUCGAGCUUCCAUAGCGUAGUAGUAAAACCCUCGUUACUGGUAAUCGUCGCGGCCACGCCGUUAAACCCCAACUUCUGAAUGUUGACCUCGGAUCAGGUAGGAAUACCCGCUGAACUUAAGCAUAUCAAUAAGCGGAGG